GCUACGCUGGCGGCGUGUCUUAGCCAUGCAAGUCGAGCGGACUUAUGGGGUAACUUAUAAGUCAGCGGCGGACGGCGGAGUAACACGUAGCUAACCUACCCUCUGGACGGGGAUAACCUACCGAAAGGUGGGCUAAUACCCGAUGUAGUCAUCCUGUAUAGGGGUGAUGAAAGGUGGGCUUCUGUUUACAAGCUCAUGCUGGAGGAGGGGGCUGCGGCCUAUCAGGUAGUUGGUAGGGUAAUAGCCUACCAAGCCGAUGACGGGUAGCCGGCCUGAGAGGGUGACCGGCCCGAGGGGCACUGAGAUACGGGUCCCACUCCUACGGGAGGCAGCAGGCUAGAAAUUUGGGCAAUGGGGGAAACCCUGACCCAGUGACGCCGCGUGCAGGAAGGAGCCCUUCGGGGUGUAAACUGCUGUCGUGUAGGGAGAAGGGUACUAAGGUGAACAAUCUUAGUACUUGACGGUACUACAGGAGGAAGCCCAGGCUAACCUCGUG
rnacentral:rRNA from 1 species